rnacentral:rRNA from 1 species
GGUAAUACGUAGGGUGCGAGCGUUGUCCGGAAUUACUGGGCGUAAAGAGCUCGUAGGUGGUUUGUCGCGUUGUUCGUGAAAUCUCACGGCUUAACUGUGAGCGUGCGGGCGAUACGGGCAGAUAGAGUACUGCAGGGGAGACUGGAAUUCCUGGUGUAGCGGUGGAAUGCGCAGAUAUCAGGAGGAACACCGGUGGCGAAGGCGGGUCUCUGGGCAGUAACUGACGCUGAGGAGCGAAAGCGUGGGGAGCGAACAGGAUUAGAUACCCUGGUAGUCCACGCCGUAAACGGUGGGUACUAGGUGUGGUUUCCUUCCUUGGGAUCCGUGCCGUAGCUAACGCAUAAGUACCCCGCCUGGGGAGUACGGCCGCAAGGUAAAACUCAAAGGAAUUGACGGGGGCCCGCACAAGCGGCGGCGCAUGUGGAUAAUUCGAUGCAACGCGAAGAACCUUACCUGGGUUAGACACGCACAGGACGCGUCUAGAGAUAGGCGUUCCCUUGUGGCCUGUGUGCAGGUGGUGCAUGGC